UUCUCCCAGCCAAGCUGUCCCUUCACCCAGUCCUCUUUCAUGCUCAGCUCCAGAACACCACCUCCAGGGAGGGCCCUGGCUGCCAGGGAGGCUCCUUCCUCUGAACUCUGGCACUAGUCUUUAAGAAAUUAAAUAGACUGAUUGCACACUGAUAGUUAUUAUACCAGGAUUCCCCUUGAAACACCCCACCCCACUGGGGACUGCAAUCUGGUGCCUUGUGGUGAAGGAUCCCAACUUUUCCAGCCAUCCUG
rnacentral:lncRNA from 1 species